GGGGGAGUAGCUUAAUGGUAAAGCGCCUGCGUAAGACACAGAUGAUUGAGGGUUCGAGUCCCUUCUCCUCCACC
rnacentral:tRNA from 1 species